GAUGAACGCUGGCGGCGUGCUUAACACAUGCAAGUCGAACGGUGAAGCAGAGCUUGCUCUGUGGAUCAGUGGCGAACGGGUGAGUAACACGUGAGCAAUCUGCCCCUGACUCUGGGAUAAGCGCUGGAAACGGCGUCUAAUACCGGAUACGAGCUGCGAAGGCAUCUUCAGCAGUUGGAAAGAAUUUCGGUCAGGGAUGAGCUCGCGGCCUAUCAGCUUGUUGGUGAGGUAAUGGCUCACCAAGGCGUCGACGGGUAGCCGGCCUGAGAGGGUGACCGGCCACACUGGGACUGAGACACGGCCCAGACUCCUACGGGAGGCAGCAGUGGGGAAUAUUGCACAAUGGGCGGAAGCCUGAUGCAGCCACGCCGCGUGAGGGAUGACGGCCUUCGGGUUGUAAACCUCUCUUUAGCAGGAAGAAGCGAAAGUGACGGUACCUGCAGAAAAAGCGCCGGCUAACUACGUGCCAGCAGCCGCGGUAAUACGUAGGGCGCAAGCGUUAUCCGGAAUUAUUGGGCGUAAAGAGCUCGUAGGCGGUCUGUCGCGUCUGCUGUGAAAUCCCGAGGCUCAACCUCGGGUCUGCAGUGGGUACGGGCAGACUAGAGUGCGGUAGGGGAGAUUGGAAUUCCUGGUGUAGCGGUGGAAUGCGCAGAUAUCAGGAGGAACACCGAUGGCGAAGGCAGAUCUCUGGGCCGUAACUGACGCUGAGGAGCGAAAGGGUGGGGAGCAAACAGGCUUAGAUACCCUGGUAGUCCACCCCGUAAACGUUGGGAACUAGUUGUGGGGUCCAUUCCACGGAUUCCGUGACGCAGCUAACGCAUUAAGUUCCCCGCCUGGGGAGUACGGCCGCAAGGCUAAAACUCAAAGGAAUUGACGGGGACCCGCACAAGCGGCGGAGCAUGCGGAUUAAUUCGAUGCAACGCGAAGAACCUUACCAAGGCUUGACAUAUACGAGAACGGGCUAGAAAUAGUCAACUCUUUGGACACUCGUAAACAGGUGGUGCAUGGGUUGUCGUCAGCUCGUGUCGUGAGAUGUUGGGUUAAGUCCCGCAACGAGCGCAACCCUCGUUCUAUGUUGCCAGCACGUAAUGGUGGGAACUCAUGGGAUACUGCCGGGGUCAACUCGGAGGAAGGUGGGGAUGACGUCAAAUCAUCAUGCCCCUUAUGUCUUGGGCUUCACGCAUGCUACAAUGGCCGGUACAAAGGGCUGCAAUACCGCGAGGUGGAGCGAAUCCCAAAAAGCCGGUCCCAGUUCGGAUUGAGGUCUGCAACUCGACCUCAUGAAGUCGGAGUCGCUAGUAAUCGCAGAUCAGCAACGCUGCGGUGAAUACGUUCCCGGGUCUUGUACACACCGCCCGUCAAGUCAUGAAAGUCGGUAACACCUGAAGCCGGUGCCCCAACCCUUGUGGAGGGAGCCGUCGAAGGUGGGAUCGGUAAUUAGGACUAAGUCGUAACAAGGUAGCCGUACCGGGAGGG
rnacentral:rRNA from 1 species